CCCGGCCCAAAAUGUAUUUCUUAAAGAAUAAGACUUGAAAGUCAAAAUUACUCCUUGAUCUGUGUGGCUGCAGAGUGAAUGUUGUGUUAGCAGGCAUAAAAACAACACUAAUCUCCUUGUACAUCUCCAUCAGAGUUCUUGGGCGACUAAGUGUCUUGUCAAUAAGCAGUAAUAUUUUGAGAAGAAUUUUUUUUUUCUGAAUAAUCGGCCUCAAUAGUGGGCUUAGAACACUCAGUAAACCAUAAACAGAUGUGCUGUCAUCCAGGCUCUGUUGCUCCAUUUACAGAACCCAGGCAGAGUAGAUUUAGCAUUGUUUUUAAGGGCCCUGGGAUUUUCAGAAUGGUAAAUGAGCACUGGCUUUAACUUAAAGUCACCAGCUGCCUUGGCUCCUAAUAAGAGCCAGCCUAUUACUUUAAAGCUUUUAAGCCAGGCAUUGACUUCUCCUCUCUAGUUGUGAAAGUCCCAGAUGACAUCUUCUUCCAAUAUAAGGCUGUUUCAUCUACACUGAAAACCUGUUGUUUAGUGUAGCCACCUUCAUCAAUUAUCUUAGCUGGAUCUUCUGGAUAACUUGCGGCAGCCUCUCCAUCAGCACUUGCUGCUUCACCCUGCAUUUUUAUGGUAUAGACAUAGCUUUCUUCCUUAAACCUCAUGAACAAACCUCUACAUCUUCUUCACCUCUCCCGCUUUCACAGAAUUGAAGAGAGUAAGGGCCUUGCACUGGAUUAGGCUUUGGCUUAGGGGAAUGUUGUGGCUAGUUUGAUCUUCCAUUCAGAUCACUAAGACUUUCUUCAUAUCAGCAAUAAAGCUGUUUUGCUUUCUUAUCAUUUGUGUGUGCACUGGAGUAGUACUUUUAACUUCCUUCAAGGACUUUUCCUUUGCAUUCACAGCUUAGUUAACUGAUGCAAGGCCUAGCUUUUGGCCUAUCUCAGCUUUCAAACUGCCUUCCUCACUAAGCUUAAUCAUUUCCCGCUUGUGAUUUAAAGUGAGAGAUACGAGACUCUUCCUUUUGCUUGAACACUUCGAGACCACUAUAGAGUCAUUAAUGGGCCUCAUUUCAAUAUUGUUGUGUCUCAGGGAAUAGGGAGGCCUAGGGAGAGGGAGAGAGAUGGGGGAAUGGCCAGGCGGUGGAGCAGUCAGAGCAUGCACAACAUUCAUUGAUUAAGUUGGUCAUCUAUAUAUGUGUGCAAUUCAUAGCACCCUGAUAGUAACAUUUGACCUUACAAUAGUAAUAUCGAGAGCACUGAUCACAGAUCACCAUCAUAGAUAUAAUAAUAAUGAAAAAGUUUGGAAUUUGUGAGAAUUGUUCAAAUGUGACACAGACAUGAAGUCAGCAAGUGCUGCUGGAAAAAUGGUGCCGAUAAACUUGCUUGACACAGGGUUGCCACAAACUUUUAAUUUGUAAAAAGCAUGUCUGCUAAGUGCAAUAAAGUGAAUAUCACAAUAAAGCAAGUCACACAAAUUUUGUGGUUUCCCAGUAAAUAUAAGUUAUGUUUACACAAUACUGUAGUCUGUUAAGUGUGCAAUGGAAUUAUGUCUUUAAAAAAAGCCAAUGUACAUACCUAAAUUAAAAAAUACUUUAUUGCUAAAAAAUGUUAAUGAUCAUUUGGGCCUUCAGUGAUAGUGAAUCUUUUUGCUGGUGGAGAUCUUACCUUGAUAUCAGCUGAUGGCUGCUGACUAAUCAGGGUGGUGGCUACCGAAGGCUGGGGUGGCUGUUGCGAUUUCUUAAAACAAGACAACAAUGAAGUUUGCUAGAUUAACUGUCUCUUCCUUUCACGAAAAAUUUCUCUAUAGCAUGGGAUGCUGUUUGAUAACAUUUUAUCGAUAAAAUGAGGUAUGACCAUCUGUAGAAUUUAAUAGUAUUAAUUGAGUUAAGUACAGUCUCUUCUUUUAUCUCCCCCUAUACUGAGAACUGACUUGUUGGGGGAGGGGUGUUGAAACGGUGAUUUUGAAAAAUAUAAUUGACUGUCUACACUUCAUGUAAGUUGAUAGGUUGGUUAAUAUUUGGUUUGAUGAUUUAUUUCUCAGAAAAUCAAGUACAUUUAAGAAAUCAACACCCAAGCCAUUUGUUGUGAUUUAGAUGUCAAGUAGAAGUCACUUAAAGAAAAUCAAGUCUGCCAUACAAUUUAAAAUUCCUGCAAGGAAUACAGAAUUCAAAUGACACCAGUGAAAUAUAACUUUAUUUUUUCAUUAUUUUUAUUUAAGUAUUUCGUUCUUAUCUUUUCCUACUUCUAAAUAAGACAUAACCUACAAAUGAACAUAAAGCAUUUCUUCUUGAAGCCAUCAUUUUAUUUCCUAGUGAAAAUAAACACUUAAAACAAUUAAAUUGCAAUAUUCCCUUAAUUGGCAACACAUUUGACAUUUAAAAAAUGUUUUCCCAUAAAUUCAUUUAACAUUUGCCUGGCUUAAAAAAAAUCAUCUCCUUUUUGUAUUUUAACUUUGAUGUCAAGUUCCAUCCAUACCAAACAAGAGGCAUAACUGCUUCUACGUGCAUUAUAAUCUAGCGACUUUCUGAUUGGUAGUAAAGUAAGGAAAUAUUACAUAUGACAUAAAGAAUGGUCUUUUGGCAUGUGAGCACUUGUAAAAUAGCAAAUAUAUUAGGUUUCUAUUAUGUUAGGUCACGAAUAUGAAUGGGGCAGAGGGGGCUUUAAGUUCACUAAUGCAUGGUCCACCUCAGAAGAAAGAUUAUCUGGUUUUCUUUUUGGAUGUGCUUCUCUUUGUCCAUGAUUACAGCCUAUUUCUUCAUGAAAUUAAAAGAUGCUAGCUUGUUUAUUAUCAGAAAACAAGUUAAUUAUUUGUACUGUUUGUGUAUAUCUAUAGAGGCUAAGUACACACAAUUACGACAACUCAAUUUUUCCUUUAGCUCUCUUCUAGUGCCUUUAUGAAGUCAAUGAAAGCACAUCCUACCUAUCCAAGGUUCUAAGGACUUUUCUGCUGGAGCUAUUUGUUCCAUACUAGCUAUUUACACUAACUGCCUAAUUAACCAGCAGAAACUCUGAUUCAUUCCUCUGGCCAAAUAAGGCAAUUUCCUUCCCUCCUUCUCAUCUGGUACAGGUGAAAUGUCCCAUAGCUUUAGAUCUGACAUUGUCAUUGCAAUGAUACUCUUUCCCUUCCUCUCUUUCCAAGUGCUAAAACCUGGGAACAUCUUUUUCAUAAUAGCUAAUGAAGAUUUCACAGGAAACAAGUCUCUUUUUAGAUCUAAAGUCUUAUAACAACUUCUUAAUGUGAAAUCACUGAGAUGCUUUAUUUUCAACUCAACUAUUGCAACCCCAUUCUCCUUUGAGCUGAGAAUGUUCUAAGAAUCUUGAUUAUGGAUGAUGAAUUAAAAAUUAUGGAGUUUAUCUCAGAGACCAGGAAACAUCACCUUCAUCCAUAAUUACUCUAAUAUUUGAGCCAGUAUUUAAAGACAGGCAAUUGGCAGUUGGCACAAGGUGGAAAUUAUUUUGGCAACUCGAGGGUUAAAUAUUAAUUGACCUAUUAGUUCUCAGUAUUCAUUUAUUUAAUCUCAGUUACACACCAUGACAAGCAGAUGAGUCUGAUGGCAAUGUCUUCACCAGCUUUCAGAAUUGUCCUUCCUGUGAACUUAGCUGCUCCUGAGCUGAUAGGAUCAGCAAACUUCCUGAAGCCUACCGGGAGACUGGUGAUGUUCAAAGAGUGGUUCAGGAAAACAAGAAAAGCAAAUGUUCUUAAUCUUUGAGGCAGAAGGAAGGGUAGGGAGAAAUUUUAAAAUACAGCAAGGAAUUAUUUCCCUGUCGAUUGUAUUUUGACAGGAAAGCAGAAUGUAUUCUUACAUUGUUUUUCUCUUUAAAGAUUUAUUUAAGGAAAACCCAUGUUCAAAAUUGGGCUGAUCAAAAGAGGGAAGAUAUUGAUCUUGUGAGUGGCAAAUGCCGAAACAUCAUCUGAGGAAUUAUAAAUUAAUCGGUUACGUAUCAAAUUAAUCUAGCAUUUAAAUUUAGACUCAGUAUGGCCAAUUAUUUAGCUAUAGUUAUAACAGAUACUCUUAAUGUUAUUGUUAGUGUUUGAAAGUGUGUAAUAGUGAUAGAAGAGAUCUACUACUUUCAUUCAGGUGGUCUCCAGGAACAACAUUAAUUUGGAAAGUGAUGUGUAAAUGCCACAUGUUUACUUAUAAAAUCUCUGUUCAUUUGUAUUCUAUUCAGUGCAGGUUACAUGGUUUGGAUCUUUUUGUUAGUGACAUCUUGACUCUGGGUUGAGAUUAUUUGAGAGAUAACUUACCAGCCUAUAGCAGGUAUUAUUGGGUUUACUUUGUCCUUAUCAGACUUAGGAGAAAUAAAAUAAACUUCCUUCUAUAGUUACUGGUGCAAAGAUUGAUCUAUAGUCACUAAUCAUCUUCAUGUGAUGAAUUCUUAGGGCAAAAACAGAAACGUUUACUCACAGUUUGCUUGAUACCAGAGCUGAAGUAACUUGAUUAUUCUUUUCUGGUUUAAAACAUGUUUUAAAUGACCAAAUGAAAGAAAAAAGCAAUUAGUAGUACUUUUUUUUUGCAUUACACAAUACUAGAUGAGUAAUACGUUAAGACUUUUGUACAAAUAUGUCUAGAAGGACACUCAUUUGUAAUAAUUAGUUAAUAGAACAUUCAGCAACAAAAUGUUCUGUUGGGAGACACACUUUAAUUUUUUCCAAAUCUCAUGUUCAUAAUUGUCCCCCACUGUUACCAAAUAAAUUAUAUUGUUAGAGCAAUACACUAAAAAACACAACACAUCUUUGUUACGGAAAACAUUUAACAGUCAAGUUGAAUUUCAUAAAAUAUUUUAUGACUAAAGUUGAGGGAAAAGGCACAAAGAAACAACACAAAUGAAAUUUAAAUUUAAUGAAUAUUCUGUUGUUGCCUGCCAGAGGGAAUAAAUAUUUUCAUAUUCAUUUUCUCUUUUAAGUAUACCUGGUAACUGUGUAACUUUCCCCUCCUCACUUCUAUUUGGUUCUCUUAUUCAUUAAGCUUUACUUAGGUAGAGGACCACACAAACAUACCAGCAUUUUGCUAAGUUGCACACAGCCACGUUAGAGGGAAAUAGUAAUUGAUCUGUAGCUCCUAGAUAUCUGGCUGUUGAUCUCAGUCAUACACAGAGAUUCUCAGUCAUACCCAGGAAACAAAAGGUCCAGAACAGUAGGGCUUUCUUUUGAAAGUAGCUGUAUGCUGGCUAUUAAAUGUUGAGGCUGGUUCUAUGCAAGGAAAUAGUUGUAUUUGCUCCUCCAAGGAAACCCCUUGUAUUUGUCGCAUUCCUACACUGAGAAAAGCAUUCUGGUGCUUUCUGAGAUAAUCAUAUGCUUCUCAGGGUUUUGUUAUGAUUUUUCUAUUAAGGCCAACUACGCGUAAUAUUGGUGGGCAUGGCUUAGAUCUGAUCAAAGUUGUGGUAAUACACAAUAAUGUCUAAACCCUUUUUGAUACCCUGCUGUAAAAAUGGGGAUGAGAAAUACCAUUUACUGAAGACCUGCUCUGUGACAGGCACUGCAUAUAUUGCAGAUACUGCAAAUAUAUUACAUAAACUAUCACACCACAACAACCUCAUGAGCUAGAUACCAUUAUUUUCCUUCCCAUUAUGCAGAUAAAGAAACUGAGACUCAGAUGUAUUAACUUUCCAAAAUUGUUUGAAUUGAGACCUUACACAACUCUGAUUAACUUGCCAACCGAUACCUAAAAAUAAAAGCCUCAGUUGGGUGGAAAAGCUCUGAAAAGCAUUUUCGUUCAAGACAGUUCAACAAACUACUGUAACUGGAAAAUUUUUCAGUUUGAAUAAGUCACUUGUUUAAAACAUGGGAUGAUUCCUGACCUUGCUUAAAGUGCUGAUAGAGUGGCCAGCCUGUGUUUUCGGCUGCUGCACCAGGUAAAUGGAAGUCCACUCACCACUCACUGUGUGUGACAGUCUAUUUUUUUCCCACCGUGGAGUUUUUAUGUUGAUGCUUCUCUAAAACUCUUUUUUCAGAGUGUGAGCAGGAUAAAAAUAUAAAAAUACAAGGAUACAAUAGUGUUUUAAGAAACACCCUAUUUGUUGUUCAAUGUUCAAAGUUUUUUCAUGGCCAGCAAAUACAGCAUGUUUUGUUAAGUCUUCCAGAAACAUCCAAGUCCUGGAUUACUUGUAUAUGAAGAUUGGUUAUAUACAAGCAUAUACUUAUUUGAUUCACCAAUAAGACCAAAUAAUUUGAUUCCCACAUAGACAAAAUUCUCCUAAAAUGCAAUUCAGGAUAAUCAUUCCUUCUCAGACUUUAUUUUUUCCCUCCUGUUAAAACCAAAAUGCAAACAGGACUGGGGGAAAAUUCUCUAGUCCAAAUAGACACGCAACAUGCAAACUGCUGUUGCAGUUUUGCAGACUGCUGUUAAAAAUGGCACCAUACAUAGGUAUACUUAAAGUAAAAUUUAAAAAAGUUCAUGGAAAACAAAACUAGAACAAACAUUUUCAUAGCACACUAAAAAUAAAUAAAUAAAUAUAUAUAUAAAUAAAUAAAAGGCACCAUUAAAAAAUCACAGCUCCUAGAGGCAGAUAAAACCUCAGACUGGGUUUAGUCAAGCAGGAUACCGAGAAAAUUUUUUCAAGGUUUUGGUAAUUUUACUUCCUUUUUGUCUGCCUACAAGACUUCCUUCUACCUCAAUGAGUGUUUAUUAUUAUUACUAUUAUCAUUUAACAUAACUGACACAAUUAGUCUUUUGAAAGAACAAUAAUGAGAUGGACAAGUGGGUCUCUGGCUUUUGGAGAGGGUUAUUAAUAAGUCAUUUGACACUAAUAGACUGGAAAAAUAAUUUGUGGCCCAUGUAAGUGAUAAAAUAUCCUUAAUUUGAAGACAUUGCUUAUAGCAAAUGUUUAGGAGUUGAGAACCCACAGGACUGUUCAAUAAUGAUAUUGAGUCUAAAUGCAAUUGUAAUAAGUAAUCUGUUGUUAUAAUGAUACCAGUUCCCAUUUAUUGAGGGCUUACUAUGCACAAAGCACUGUUCUAAGCACUGGCAUGCAUUAUCUCAUUAUACUUCACAACAGUCUCUAUGAGAGAGUACUAUUAUUGACCCCACUCUACAGAUGGUGAAAACAAGGCUUAGAGAGAUCAUCACUUGCUCAGUGCUACAGAGUCAGUUGUUAAGCUGAGAUUUAAACCCAGAUCUCUUUUACCCCAAAACCUGUUGGACUAAUCUACAACACAACUUUGCCUUCUGUACUCUGAAUCCUAAAAUAGUCAAGCUGAAAGCAACCUCUGAGACUGCAGUCCAGCCUCUUUCUUGUACAUAUGAGAAAAUUGAAGUUUUAAAAAGGAACUAUGUCUUUCUCAUCACCCUAAUAACAAAUUGGUGACUGAGCAGGCCUAGAACUCAGGUCUCUUGCCUUCAAUUCCAGAUAGAAUGCCAUUCUAUCAUUUAACAAAAUUUGCAUGACCCAGGAGACUAGAAGACUAGCUCUGCAGUUUAACACACACACACACACACACACACACACACACACACACACACACACACCAGAUAAAAUACCAAAGAGCUAAAUUCAGGUUGCUUCUGUGUUUUCUAACUUGCAGCUGCUUCAUUGCAGGAUCAUACAACACAUGAUGCGACAGGGACUUAAAGCCACACAUAAAACAUAUUAAAUGUAGUCAGCAGUGAUGAGAUUUGGUACCAAAUAAGAAGCUUUAAUUAAUUUUAAAUGGUGCUUUUCAUAGUGUCAAAAGCUCAGUCCACUGAAGUGGAAAAGGGGGUUGGAAUGGCCAGAUCCUAGCAACCCAGCUAAUCUGGGCCCUUCUGAGCAAGCUCAUUUGGAAUUCUUACAUCAGUGCAUCGGCACGCCGAGGUGGGGCUCAUGGGGACAAACAAAAUAGCAACCCCAACUCCGGCACUGCUCAGAAUCCCGCAUCCCGGGGAGGCCUGAGAGUUCAGCUGUAUUAAGGGGCCGUUGGAGUUUCCCUGUUAUUUGUCUACUUUUUGAGGAUUAGAACUUCCGCUGGGCUGUGUUCAUCUGUGCUGAGAAUUUAAACUCGGUGCAUGCAACAACAGGAACAGCGAGAUCUGCUAGAAACGUUCAAAAAGAAGUCUGUUGUGACUUUUAAAAGCUGUUAGAUGCACAAAGAGCAAUAAAUUGAAGGGUUUCUGAUUUCUUCGGGGAGUGUAUAUUGGGCAGUGAUUUCUUUUUCUAUUUCCUUCCCCCCACAUCAUGAGCCUUUGUUUCAAGGCUGCGACCGUACAGAUAUUCACCAUGUAGACCUAUUUGAGUAGCAUCGUUUUAGAAAGGCUGGUACACCCACACACACCCCCACACACAGGUGACCAGGAACCUUCUUUUUCUCUCCAUGACAUAGAAAUAGAAACUAUCGUUAUGGUCCUUCCUCCUAGAGGCCGCAGAACCAUGUAGUAAGAAGCAAACAGUAAGGACCAGUUGAGAUUUUCUGUGACCCAAUUCCCUGGCUUUACAGGUGAGGAAACUGAGGCUCAAUGUGCCAUGACAAGAAUGAGGACACGACUGCAGAUUUCUCUAUUUUCCUGUUCCUUUCAUUAUUACUCAGCUCAUCAUUUAUAGGUAUUGUUUAUAAGAACAGCAUAUAAAUAAGAGCCAGGUACCAGUUGGGAAUGUGACAUACUUACUGUUUUCAAUGUAGGGACUAUGUUAUGCAUACAUAUUGAUGACAAUAAUGAUAAAAAUUGUGACUAGUUCUUAACAAGUGAAGCAUUCAUUUGGGUCAACAAUCGUGGAUCAAAAAUAUUUUAUUUCUGCCUAUUACUUUAUCUUACAUAAAUGCACGGCUUGUCAUGUGAACGUAACUAACACAAAAUAAUUAUAAGUUUCUGAGGAUCAUCCAUUUAUUGACAAGAGUUAUAAGCUUUUUUCUUUUUCCCCAAACUCAGACGUGACUCUGUUUUGUCCUCUACAGAAAGAAACAGUAAAACAUCACCCAUUCCUCACCCAUGCUUUCUGUCCCUGUUGUAUGAACAGGGGUCUAGAAUCAAGACCAUCCUGCAGCCUAGGUGAUUUGCUAUUAGUGGUAGGAAUGUGCACAAAACAGUUUAGGCCAGCAUCCAAAAGCACAUAUCUGUUCAGUGAUCUAGUUCCUGAAAAGGAACUAGAAAUGAUCAGGUUUCCAUCACAGGAUUUUUAGAAACUUGAUAUUGGCAAGAUUGGAAAUAUUUUAAGGAGAUUCUUUUUAAGGUGUUCCUGUUUUUUCUACAUUUCUAGCCUAUAUCAAAUUAGAGUGAGAAAGAAAAGGAAAGAGCUAAGAGAAUAACAAUUGUACUUUGCAUUACAUUGAGGAACACUGAUUUUCUAGCAUUAAUUUUUAAUAUUUACUAAUGAAAAGUCACAGAAACUCAGGUAAACUCUUUAUUGAUGGUUUUAAACAUUUUUUUUCUUAGUAUACUUGAGAUACCCUUCACAGUUGUUUAAGUCAUUUCAUUAACUCUGUAUUGAGUAUCCCAAUAGGUUUUUCCCCUGCAAACAAUUGAAUUUUCUUUUCUACCUGUCCCUUUGCCUCCUUAAACACAAUCCAAAUAUGGGAUGCUGGUAUUAGUAUGGUUAUUACUGGACUUUUGAAAGCAUCUUUUUGGUCUUAUCUACCAAUCAUUCCACUCAGAAGAAAAAAGUUAAAUUGAAUGGAGCCUGCUUAUCUUGUUAAUAAUAGUAGCUCUCAUCAUAGAAAUAUUUUAUACAGUACUUAUUCAAUAUCUUCUGAGAGAUGUGUGUAUGUGUAUAAUAAUAUUUUUAAAAAUAAGAAAGUUCUUGGCAUAUAUGAAGUAUAAAACUACCAAAUAUUAAAAUAACUGAAUCAAUAGAAUUUAUAAAUAGAUAUCUGUUUUGCCCAUCUAUACCACUAAAAUGCAAAUAAUAUAUUAGUUAAAACUUAGAAUGGAAAGAAAAAUGAAAUUUAAAUGCUAAUCUGAAAACAUUCUUUGUUUGCAUGUAGGGAUGUGCAGUAUGAAACUGACUCUCUCAGCUCAGCCACUUAAUAACUAAGCAAGGAUUAAGGUAGCAGGUAAUAGAUCUUGUAAGUACAGAAAAUGGAGGGAGUUGUGGGAGUGAGUGUGGGGAGAAAUCCAAAAACGGUUUUGGAAAAGCAGUAACUUUGUACACACUUUGAUCAUUGCUGAGAAAAGGGUAAAGAACUUUUGUUAGCCUUAGAUAAGUUCAACAACAAGAGAGUAAAGGUUAAGAAUCCUACUUUCAGUUCUAGUGUGGAAUUAGAAGUCCAUUUGCCCAUCAAUACACAGGGGAUUUGCACAUGAGAAUGAAUGGGAGUUACAUGAUCAAAUCCUUCAGAGAUCUGUGAGAAAAUAAACUCUAGCAAGAAUAUUUGAACUAUCUUUUAUAAUAGAUGAAUCGUCAUAAUAGACAUGCUUAUAGGAAUUUUAAUAUUUCAAGAAUAAUGUAUAAGUACGUCUAAAUAGAUGUGUAUUUAUAUACCUCUAUAAAAUAUACGUAUAUAUUUGAAAUCUGCAUGUAUCUAUGUGAUUAUGCACUAAUUCUAGUCAGUAAAACAGCUCAUUAAGUGCUCCUAGUAGUUUGUGUGUGUGUGUGUGCUGUUUUGAGGACAUGAUUACAGCAUAUACGAUUUAAUUUAAACAAUUGAGAUAAUACUAUGGAAAAACUCAAAUGCACUUCAUAUGAAUUUUUCUUUUACUUUCUUUUUUUUCCCUGUUUUUUUAGUAGGCUCAACCAUGAAACACACAAAAAUAUGUUCAUUACAUUUUUUCUCAGAGGAGGCUUUUCAACAAUAGAUAAAGCAUCUCUAUUUUUCUUUAAAAAGACCAAAAGAAGCAAAUUUUCCAUUUUCCUUUACAAGCAACACUGGAUUUUCACAUGCAGAUUUUAGCAUAAAACAUCUUCUCACUGUGGGAAAAGUGGUGCAUUCUUGUACAAAUUAAGAUAGAUAAUUCUUAUACUAACACGCGUAUUAUAAUAUUAAAACAUAUACGGAGGUGGAUGGAAGGCUAGUGUUUAUUAGACUAUUUCAGCUCUUCAUAAUCUGUUUGCUUACUCCUAUAGCAACUUGUUGAUAAUAGGAAGUCUUUUGUGAGAAACGGCAUGAAAAACAAUAAAAAGCAUCAGAUUUAAUAAAGUAUCUAAGGAAAGUCUUAAAAUGACACCCACACUAUGAAGGGAAAGCCAAAUUUGCUUUUUCUGAGGGGAAUUUGUGUUCGUCAGGAAGGGUUCCUGGAGGCUUUGUUUUGAGGCCUUGAUGUGUGACCAGUGCGCUACGGGCCGCCCUUCACCCUUGCCCUUCUUCUACCACGGCUCUGCCCACCCAUACUGACACCGCAGGGGGAAGGGUUUCAGAGCAGAAAGAAUCAAAAGCUGAGGGACGGGGGAAAAAAAGUGCUUUUCAGGGUCUGAUGUGUGGGAAUCAAAUGAGAGGCCUAGCUCAAAUCCGGUCGCCAGGCAACCAAAGUGAUAUGCUGAGGGAAUAUCAUUAAAGUUGGAAAGUAAGCAGUCUCUCUGAAUUAGUAAACCAACCACAGGAUCGACGAUACACCGAACUCUCUCAGUGCUGGAGCGCAAUUUCUCCAAGGAGGACAAGCGGGGGGCUUUGCUAAGUGUAAGGGGGAAAGGAGAGGGAGAGGGAGUGAGAGAACGCAGCUGAUUUGUAGAGUUUUUUCAUAAAAAAAAGACAAUGGCUGUCCAGACAUGGAGUUGGUGGUGAAAUAUGGUAACUGCCACGGCUGCAGCUGGCUCUCUGACACAAGAUUAAUAAGUUGCCGUUUCCUAGCCGACCAGAACCUAGUGGGAACUAUCCAGCAUUUUAUCUUGAAUUGUGGGUAACAGCCUUACUGCAAGCUGGCCUAGUUUACUGCUCUGUUUUUUCCACAUCUCCCAAAGUGCAGCAAACAUCUGUGACUCUAAUGAGGUCAUCAUUGAGGGUGUCCAGCGAGCUGGGCCCUGAGAACUGACCUCACCUCUGCCUGAACAUAAAGUACAAGUGCUGUGGGGAAGCAGGACAAAUUAAAUGGGGGAGCUGGCACUUGGCUGUGAGUUAAGCUCUUAAGAAACUUUUUGCUGUGAUUAAAAAAGAGAGGGAGAGAGAGGGAGAGAGAGAGAGAGAGAUUGAGGUUCAGAAAUGACAGUACAACAAAGCAGUAGCAAGCCUACAGAAUUACAUUUAGGCCUCACUGAUGAAUAUUAUCACUGACAUGAACAAGCAAAGCUUAUCUAGGCCUUCCUUCUUGAAAGGCUGAAUAAAAUUGAAUUGCCAACUUCUGCAUUUUACCACAUUUUGGUGGAAAUGUCUCAGAGACCUACAUGAUUUAAAAGGAAACCUGGGAGAAUUCAACCACAAAGUGUAUAUAUGUGUUUCUGACAGCAAAAUUUCAAGCAUUAUAAACCAUGUCAUAUCAUUUAUAAGUAAUUUGAUUACAGACACAGAAAACAAAUCAAACUUCUCCAGAUAGGUCUUUCUUUUCCCUGCAGUUAUUCCAACAGAGGCAUGGUUUUUAUAAAUAACAUGACCAGGCAAACAUGCAAACACAACCCAAAACUGCAUUCAAACCAGUGAACUAUAAUAAUUUUGUUUAGUCAUCAGAGGAAAGAACAUUGAAGACGUGACUGUACCCACUGAUUUCUUAAAACAGUCCAUUUCAAUGGAGUGAGAAAUGUAAGCUUUCAAAAGGAAGAAAAAUGUUUUAAGUUUGGAAGAAAAAAAGCAUAUUUCUGAAAGUUUUCUCUAUCAUUUAAUAUGUAAGUGUAUCAGCCACAUGUUGAACAUGUAUUGUUCAUUUUAGCUACAUCUGCUCUCAGUGAGAACAGUCAUUCUUGAUUCCUAAAAAAAAAAAAUGGCUAUGUGGAUAAAGUCCAGAAGGAGAAAAAAAGAUGGAGGUCAUCUUCAAAACUCAUCUAGAAACCUUCAUUCAUAUGUAUUAACUCACUAUGUAUGCAGAUGUAUUUUUCCCUGGGAGCAAAUCCAUGAAGCCCAGAAUGACAUGUCACAGUACUUUUACAAAGAGUUUGAUUUUUAAAAAGUAGGCAUAUGACGAGAUUAAAUCUGGCAAGUUUUUAUCUUAUUAUUCUCAUAUUAUUAUCAGGCUCACUGCAGCCUUGACCUCCCUGGCUCAAGAAAUCCUUCUACCUCAGCCUACUGAAUAGCUGGGACUAUUGGCAUGCACCACUACCCCUGGCUAAUUUUUUAAAAAAUCGUUUUGUAGAGACAGAGUCUCACUAUGUUGCCCAGGCUGUUCUCAAAGUCCUGGGCUCAAGUGGUCCACCUGCCUUGGCUUCCUAAAGUGUUGGGAUUACAGGCAUGAGCCACUACACCCAGCCUCAGUAUUAUUAGACCAGAUCUGAUGCAAGAGAUACAGAGGACUUGCAAUAGAAAUGUAAUCACUUUCUCAAAAGCUAGAAAAUGUUAUACAAAACUUUUGUUUGACUAAAUAUGUAGUAUAGGUGGCUGGAGACUGAGAGGGCAAGAGCAGAUAGGCUAGAUAACAGAAAGUGUUAGCUAUUUCUGUUUGAUAUGAGCCUUUCCACUGUGAUAUCAAGAGGGAAAUCAAGGAGCUGUCCUAAACUUAAUUUAGAAAUAAUGGAUAUUAUGGAUUAGGAAUGAUUUUGAACAUGUGCUUUAAUGUAGGACAUUCAGGAUGGAGGGUUUAAACAGUAAUGCUAGAGAAAAGUUCUAGUGUUACCUGCAAGUCCCUCAAUUUGGACAGCAGAAAUCUAUCCCAUUACACUCUUUCUCAGUUUUCAGGAAGGGCCUGCCUAAUGCCCAUUUCAAGGCUGAGUUUAUUUUUUAAAUGCAAAUGAAGGAAGUGUUGCGUUCAGCUUUGCAAACAGUUUUCAGAAAUCCUGUUGGCCUACAUUUAGCUGGGAAGCAGCACCCAGUACCAAGUGUAGGGGCUCGAACAAUCAAGUAGUUGUUUGCCUCACUCACAUUCCUGAGGCAAUCUGGUUCCAGCUGAACUCCUUGGGAACAGUCUGGGCUAUGUACCCCUGGGGCAUCUGCCCCAAUUAGCAUUGACCCUUGUGGGCCUCCUUGCUGGCUCUAGGUUGCUCCCAACCUCUUGAACUCUGGGUAAACCAGAUUGCUUUAAGAGCCUCCAAAGCUUUCCACAGCCCCAAGAUGAACUGGACAUCCAGGCUCACCAACAGAAAUUCAGUCACCCUGUAGCGCCCAAAUCAACAUGGCCUCCUCCAGGUUCUCUGAGCCAGAGGAGAGACCCAUGUGUUGGGAUUAUUGCUAUGACUAAGAAACAAGAGGAAAGAAGGCUCAAAGAGUGCUUUGCCAGGCUAAACUCAGUAGUAUGUGGAAAGAGUACACAGGUCUAAAGCCUCACAGAACUAGGUUGGACUCUUGGACCUUCUCUAACUAGCUGGGUGACCUUGGCAAGUCACCAAACCCUAUCAAGCUUCAAUUUCCUCAUGUGUAAAAUGGGGACAAAGAUGUCUCUCCUGCAGUAUUUUUGCGAAAAUUAAAUGGUUUAAUGCAUGUAAACAUGUUCAGUAAAAUGUCUGGCUUAUAGUUGGCCCUCAGGAAAUGGGAGUUAAUUACAAAAAAUAAAAAAUAAAACCCAUCAUGUUUAACCAGGGCAAUACCACUCCUGAGAAAAUCCAGGCCCACACGAUUCUUGAAUUCCCUCUUUUUUGUUGUGGUUCAUGAUCCGUUUGUUACUACCUCUUCCUUUCUCAGAAAACAAAUAACCCACAACUAAUUUUUGUACCUCUCUCGUCCAGCACUUCCAGGAACUGUGGGGUUGACAGAAGGGAUAUGCAACAGGUUCUGCAUCCUUGAGGAUCUCACUGCAAGAACAGCACAGAAAGAGCAUGACCCAACUCAAGAGGAGUCUAGACAUCGAGUUGCACAAGACUGAGUGUGCACAAUGGGAUUGGAGAGAAGUAACGGCAUGGGCUGCCAUGAUCAGGGAAAGCUGCACAGAAGUGUUGGGUUUGGAGCUGGGGAGGUGAGAAGGUC
rnacentral:lncRNA from 1 species